rnacentral:rRNA from 1 species
CCUACGGGAGGCAGCAGUGGGGAAUUUUGGACAAUGGGCGCAAGCCUGAUCCAGCAAUGCCGCGUGCAGGAUGAAGGCCUUCGGGUUGUAAACUGCUUUUGUACGGAGCGAAACGGUCUGCUUUAAUACAGUAGGCUAAUGACGGUACCGUAAGAAUAAGCACCGGCUAACUACGUGCCAGCAGCCGCGGUAAUACGUAGGGUGCGAGCGUUAAUCGGAAUUACUGGGCGUAAAGCGUGCGCAGGCGGUUAUAUAAGACAGAUGUGAAAUCCCCGGGCUCAACCUGGGACCUGCAUUUGUGACUGUAUAGCUAGAGUACGGUAGAGGGGGAUGGAAUUCCGCGUGUAGCAGUGAAAUGCGUAGAUAUGCGGAGGAACACCGAUGGCGAAGGCAAUCCCCUGGACCUGUACUGACGCUCAUGCACGAAAGCGUGGGGAGCAAACAGGAUUAGAUACCCUGGUAGUCCACGCCCUAAACGAUGUCAACUGGUUGUUGGGUCUUCACUGACUCAGUAACGAAGCUAACGCGUGAAGUUGACCGCCUGGGGAGUACGGCCGCAAGGUUGAAACGUCAAAUGAAUUGACGGCUGGAGACGAGCGACGGACGACGACGAGGGGAGGAGG